rnacentral:rRNA from 1 species
AGCGAACGUUUGCGGCGGGCUUAACACAUGCAAGUCGAACGAGAAUCCCUUCGGGGAGGAAAGUGGCGCACGGGUGCGUAACACGUGGAUAACCAACCCAUUGGUUUGGGACAACACCGGGAAACUGGUGCUAAUACCAGAUGUGUCGCAGCUGUCUUCAGGCGGUUGCGAGAAAGGCCCGCAAGGGUCGCCAACGGACGGGUCCGCGUCCCAUUAGCUAGUUGGUGAGGUAAUGGCUCACCAAGGCAAAGACGGGUAGCUGGUCUGAGAGGAUGAUCAGCCACACUGGAACUGAGACACGGUCCAGACUCCUACGGGAGGCAGCAGUGGGGAAUAUUGCGCAAUGGGCGAAAGCCUGACGCAGCCACGCCGCGUGAGCGAUGAAGGUCUUCGGAUCGUAAAGCUCUGUGGGGGGAGAAGAAGAAAGCCGGUGAAGAGCCGGCCCUGACGGUAUCCCCUUAGCAAGCACCGGCUAACUCCGUGCCAGCAGCCGCGGUAAAGUAGUCG